rnacentral:rRNA from 2 species
UACGUAGGUGGCAAGCGUUGUCCGGAAUUAUUGGGCGUAAAGCGCGCGCAGGCGGUUUCAUAAGUCUGUCUUAAAAGUGCGGGGCUUAACCCCGUGAGGGGAUGGAAACUAUGGAACUGGAGUAUCGGAGAGGAAAGCGGAAUUCCUAGUGUAGCGGUGAAAUGCGUAGAUAUUAGGAAGAACACCAGUGGCGAAGGCGGCUUUCUGGACGACAACUGACGCUGAGGCGCGAAAGCCAGGGGAGCGAACGGG